CAGGAGCAGCAAUAGGGUUUAGGGCAGAUGAUCCCCAAACAUUAGCACGUAUCACAAUCACCUGUAGUGCUGGUUAAAAUACAGUUGCUAGAUUCCACUCAGGUUAGAUUCCACAGGGCAGUAAUGGGGUUCUCAAGAUUGCAUUUCUAACAAGAUUUAAGUGAACCUCACGCUGCUGGUCUGGGGACCACCCUUUGCAACCUACGACAUUAGGGUAAUGGAGAGUAGUAGGUUGAAGCUGAAGAGUCAGAGAAAAAAGGUCCAAAUAAGAUCAGAGAAUCGUCAUGUAGCAUCUGAACGUGCAGAAGUGAAAAGGGAAACCCAGCAAGAAUGUUGAGUGUAUCAGCACUACCUACGGGUUAUAUGUCCUGAGCAGAUCAACAUCUUCAGUGAUGAGAGGAUAAGAGAACUUCUUAGCUUGUAAAUUAAGGAAAUCUCUAGAGAGCAACUUCUACCUAGAAUUGAAGGAGGAAAGUAACAAAAGAAAAAAAAGUAUUCCCAAAAUUGGGAUUAUAAAUGAAAUUAUACAGCAAGAAGAAGAACUUGCAAACAGAGUCAGCAGCUUUUUGUUUUUAAAGAUUUAUUCACAUGAGAGAGAGCGUGGUGGGUGGUGGAGUCAGAGGGAGAGGCAGAUUCCCUGCUGAGCAGGGAGCCCGACUGGAGCUAGACCCCAAGACGUGGAGGUCCCAACAUGAGCCAAAUGCAAAAUGCUUAACCAUCUGAGCCACUCGGGCACCCCAGAGUCAACAGCUUUUAUUUAAGCACAGAAGAAAAGUCAAAAUAGUGGAAAUGGGCAAAUAGAAUUCCAAUUUUUGAAUUCAUGACAGUAUUUUUAAAUCUAUUAUUUAUGGUUAUAGCUUACAUUCACUAAAAUGCAUGACUCUUAAUUGUACAACUUGACAGGUUUUAACAAAUGGGUACGUCUGUGUUAUCAUCGCCCAAAUCAAGAUAAUGGUGCCUCACUAUCACCCCUGAAAGUUUGCUCAUGCUUCUUUCCAGUUACUCUACAGCCCUGAGGCAACCAUUCUUUGGAUUUCUAUCACCAUGGUUAAGUUUCCCAAACCACUGAACUUCACAUAUAUGGAGUUAUGUAGUAUGUACUCUUUUUUUAUUGACUGAUAGCACACAGCGAGGUGGGGGGCAGAGGGAUUUUAAGCAGACUCCGCACUAAGGGUGGACCCAAGUUUGGGGUUCAGUCUCACAACCCUGAGACCAUGACCUGAGCCAAACUCAAGAGUCAAACACUUAACGGACUGAGCCACCCAGGCGCCCCUAGAAUGUACUCUCUUCUCUGGCAUCCUUCACUUAAAGUUUUUGAGGAAUCCCUGGGUGGCUCAGCGGUUUGGCACCACCUUCAGCCCAGGGCGUGAUCCUGGGGUCCCGGGAUGGAGUCCUGCGUCGGGCUCCCUGCAUGGAGCCUGCUUCUCCCUCUGCCUGUGUCUCUCAUGAAUAAAUAAAUAAAUUUUUUUUUAAAUAAUAAAAAAUAAAAAUGUUUUUGAGAUGCAUCCAUGUUGUUACGUGAUCAGUAGUUUGUUCCUUGUUGCUGAGUCAUGUGCCAUUUAUGAAUACAUCGUGAUGUACACAUUCACCUUUGGUAGACAUUGAUUUGAUUCUAGCUUUCAACUAUGACAAAUAAAACUGCUAUGAACAUUCUUAUGCUGCAAAUAAAUU
rnacentral:lncRNA from 1 species